UACGUAGGGUGCAAGCGUUGUCCGGAAUUAUUGGGCGUAAAGGGCUCGUAGGCGGUCUGUCACGUCGGGAGUGAAAACUCGGGGCUUAACUCUGAGCCUGCUUCUGAUACGGGCAGACUAGAGGUAUGCAGGGGAGAAUGGAAUUCCUGGUGUAGCGGUGAAAUGCGCAGAUAUCAGGAGGAACACCGGUGGCGAAGGCGGUUCUCUGGGCAUGACCUGACGCUGAGGAGCGAAAGUGUGGGGAGCGAACAGG
rnacentral:rRNA from 1 species